rnacentral:rRNA from 1 species
AGCGCAGGCGGUUUUGAUAAGUCUGAAGUAAAAAGGCUGUGGCUUAACCAUAGUAUGCUUUGGAAACUGUCAAACUUGAGUGCAGAAGGGGAGAGUGGAAUUCCAUGUGUAGCGGUGAAAUGCGUAGAUAUAUGGAAGAACACCAGUGGCGAAGGCGGCUCUCUGGUCUGCAACUGACGCUGAGGGCUCCAAAAGCAUGGGUAGCGACA